rnacentral:rRNA from 1 species
UACGAAGGGGGCUAGCGUUGCUCGGAAUCACUGGGCGUAAAGGGUGCGUAGGCGGGUCUUUAAGUCAGGGGUGAAAUCCUGGAGCUCAACUCCAGAACUGCCUUUGAUACUGAGGAUCUUGAGUUCGGGAGAGGUGAGUGGAACUGCGAGUGUAGAGGUGAAAUUCGUAGAUAUUCGCAAGAACACCAGUGGCGAAGGCGGCUCACUGGCCCGAUACUGACGCUGAGGCACGAAAGCGUGGGGAGCAAACAGGAUUAGAAUCCACUACGUAC